rnacentral:rRNA from 1 species
UUUGUGGACAGGGGGCCGGCCUUUAACUUGGCAUGUCGAACGAUGAAAGCCGGGGCUUGCUCUGGUGGAUUAGUGGCGAACGGGUGAGUAACACGUGAGCAACCUGCCCCUGACUCUGGGAUAAGCGCUGGAAACGGCGUCUAAUACUGGAUAUGUCCCGUCACCGCAUGGUGUGCGGGUGGAAAGAUUUUUCGGUUGGGGAUGGGCUCGCGGCCUAUCAGCUUGUUGGUGAGGUAAUGGCUCACCAAGGCGUCGACGGGUAGCCGGCCUGAGAGGGUGACCGGCCACACUGGGACUGAGACACGGCCCAGACUCCUACGGGAGGCAGCAGUGGGGAAUAUUGCACAAUGGGCGGAAGCCUGAUGCAGCAACGCCGCGUGAGGGAUGACGGCCUUCGGGUUGUAAACCUCUUUUAGCAGGGAAGAAGCGAGAGUGACGGUACCUGCAGAAAAAGCACCGGCUAACUACGUGCCAGCAGCCGCGGUAAUACGUAGGGUGCAAGCGUUAUCCGGAAUUAUUGGGCGUAAAGAGCUCGUAGGCGGUCUGUCGCGUCUGCUGUGAAAUCCCGAGGCUCAACCUCGGGCUUGCAGUGGGUACGGGCAGACUAGAGUGCGGUAGGGGAGAUUGGAAUUCCUGGUGUAGCGGUGGAAUGCGCAGAUAUCAGGAGGAACACCGAUGGCGAAGGCAGAUCUCUGGGCCGUAACUGACGCUGAGGAGCGAAAGGGUGGGGAGCAAACAGGCUUAGAUACCCUGGUAGUCCACCCCGUAAACGUUGGGAACUAGUUGUGGGGUCCUUUCCA